GAUGAACGCUGGCGGCGUGCCUAAUACAUGCAAGUCGAGCGAACAGACGAGGAGCUUGCUCCUCUGACGUUAGCGGCGGACGGGUGAGUAACACGUGGAUAACCUACCUAUAAGACUGGGAUAACUUCGGGAAACCGGAGCUAAUACCGGAUAAUAUAUUGAACCGCAUGGUUCAAUAGUUAAAGACGGUUUUGCUGUCACUUAUAGAUGGAUCCGCGCCGCAUUAGCUAGUUGGUAAGGUAACGGCUUACCAAGGCGACGAUGCGUAGCCGACCUGAGAGGGUGAUCGGCCACACUGGAACUGAGACACGGUCCAGACUCCUACGGGAGGCAGCAGUAGGGAAUCUUCCGAAAUGGGCGAAAGCCUGACGGAGCAACGCCGCGUGAGUGAUGAAGGUCUUCGGAUCGUAAAACUCUGUUAUUAGGGAAGAACAAAUGUGUAAGUAACUAUGCACGUCUUGACGGUACCUAAUCAGAAAGCCACGGCUAACUACGUG
rnacentral:rRNA from 1 species